CCAAGAUGUGAGCACAAUUCUCAAAUUCAGCUCCUGCCAUGUGCCGUGAUGAUCAAAAAAAAGAACAGGAUAUCCCCCUUUCAAAGGAAUCUCAGAGAACACUCGAAGCACCAAUUACUACAAGGCAAUUAUAAACAAGAACUGAUUGAUGGUUACAAAAACUUAGAAUUUAACGGAUCUCAUGGAAGCACUAUUUCAAAAAUGUCAUAACAAUAAAUAAAUAAACAUCGAAGUUGUAUAUUU